UACGUAGGGGGCAAGCGUUGUCCGGAUUUAUUGGGCGUAAAGAGCGUGUAGGCGGCUUGGCAAGUCCGCUGUGAAAACUCGAGGCUCAACCUCGAGACGUCGGUGGAAACUGCCUCGCUAGAGUCCGGAAGAGGAGAGUGGAAUUCCUGGUGUAGCGGUGAAAUGCGCAGAUAUCAGGAGGAACACCAAUUGCGAAGGCAGCUCGCUGGGACGUUACUGACGCUGAGACGCGAAAGCGUGGGGAGCAAACAGG
rnacentral:rRNA from 1 species